AUCCUUUGUUGCCAGCGGUUCGGCCGGGAACUCAAAGGAGACUGCCAGUGAUAAACUGGAGGAAGGUGGGGAUGACGUCAAGUCAUCAUGGCCCUUACGAGUAGGGCUACACACGUGCUACAAUGGCAUAUACAAAGAGAAGCGACCUCGCGAGAGCAAGCGGACCUCAUAAAGUAUGUCGUAGUCCGGAUUGGAGUCUGCAACUCGACUCCAUGAAGUCGGAAUCGCUAGUAAUCGUAGAUCAGAAUGCUACGGUGAAUACGUUCCCGGGCCUUGUACACACCGCCCGUCACACCAUGGGAGUGGGUUGCAAAAGAAGUAGGUAGCUUAACCUUCGGGAGGGCGCUUACCACUUUGUGAUUCAUGACUGGGGUGAAGUCGUAACAAGGUAACCGUAGGGGAACCUGCGGUUGGAUCACCUCCUUACCUAAAGA
rnacentral:rRNA from 1 species